GUAAGUACCAUCUGACUCUGGCUUAGCGCCUUCUUUCCCUCAAUUCUUUCUACUCUUUCACCUCCCCUCUGCACUCCAGGUACGCCAAACUUUUUGCAGGUCCCCCUAAUACCAAGCUUUCUUACGUGUUAGCAACUUCAUAGAUGCUUGGUCUUCCACUUGAAGACCGCUAUGAGAAGACUGUGCUCAGAGAUGGUAAGAAACUCAGAAGAGGCACCUGGUGAAUAGGAGAUGUCUGGAACUUGAAUGCAGGAAGAAGUGGAUACUUUCAACGGGAGAAACUCGAGCAUCAGAUUUGCUCCUUGGAGCAUUAAUAAAAGGGCUCAGUUAGCCUCAUCUCAUUAUUUUACUAUGAGUAUUGACUUUGGCCUAGAGUCAUGUAUAGAUAAAAUGGUGCAAGGGCUUGUCCUAAGUGAUUACUCAGAAUUACAAAUCAUUUCACGUGUAACUGAAUACUGCCGUCUAGCUGGCACCCUGCCCCUUGCUUCUCCCCCUCCCCUUCCUCUAAUAGGAGCGCAAAUCCAGCUUUGUCUGAAGAGGCAAUUAAUCUUAUUCACUGAAAGCCGAAUUUUAAUUCACCAGCAUGUGGAGGACAUAUUUGCCUAUCACACAGAAUUAGUUUAACAGAGAAUUUAGACAAAAAAGAUAUUGGAGGUCUUGGCAUUCUUUGGCAGGCAAAAUAUCUUGUAGGUACAUUCCUUUAUUAGCCAUCUACAUACUACGAAUAAGCUUCUUGUAAUAAUAACUCUAUUAGGGUAAACUGGGUUUAUUUUGUAUUUGAAAGUGGCUGAUUACAUUUUAUUUCAUGUAAAGAAACCCACAAGAUAUGUGUGUUUUGGAGGAAAAUGAACAUAAGGUGAGAGAGAUAAAUUUUAGUUUUCUAGAGAUUCUAAAAGGCUAUUAUUUUUAAGGGCACAGUUUAAAGAUGAUCAGAAAAAUAAAGGGACACAUAAAAAUCCUAGACAGCCUACAUACAUCCAAAUCUAAUCCUGCAGAAGGGUAAGUGGUAAGGUAUGAGGUAGACACCAUUGCCAGCACCACACUAGGACUCUCAUGUGAAAUCUGUGAGGGCAAAUACCGGAUUUCCCCAGUGCUUCUGCUGUGCUCUAUUUUAAUUUUCCCCUGAGCAAGGCCUUAGUGUUUUAUCUGAAGUUUGUUUCACAUGUAGACAAAGUGUAAAAAAAAAAACUUCCUGAAGCAGUUUCUUAAUUCAAGAGAUUUAGACAGGAAUAUGAUUUAAUGCAUGUCCAUGCUUGGUUAGAUAUCAAAUUCCCCUAAGUUCAGAAAACACAUGGCUCUGUUUUGUCCUUCUAUUUAACAUGGCGCU
rnacentral:lncRNA from 1 species